rnacentral:rRNA from 1 species
CCUACGGGGGGCAGCAGUGAGGAAUAUUGGUCAAUGGUCGGGAGACUGAACCAGCCAAGCCGCGUGAGGGAGGAAGGUACAGAGUAUCGUAAACCUCUUUUGUCAGGGAACAAAGACUGGGACGCGUCCCCGGAUGAGUGUACCUGAAGAAAAAGCAUCGGCUAACUACGUGCCAGCAGCCGCGGUAAUACGUAGGGAGCAAGCGUUGUUCGGAAUGACUGGGCGUAAAGGGUGCGUAGGCGGUUAUACAAGUUAGAAGUGAAAUACCCAGGGCUUAACUCGGGUGCUGCUUCUAAAACUGUAAGACUUGAGUGCAGUAGAGGUUAGUGGAAUUCCUAGUGUAGCGGUGGAAUGCGUAGAUAUUAGGAGGAACACCAGAGGCGAAGGCGGCUAACUGGACUGCAACUGACGCUGAGGCACGAAAGUGUGGGGAGCAAACAGGAUUAGAUACCCCUGUAGUC